CCUACGGGUGGCAGCAGUGGGGAAUAUUGGACAAUGGGGGGAACCCUGAUCCAGCCAUGCCGCGUGUGUGAAGAAGGCCCUCGGGUUGUAAAGCACUUUCAGUGAGGAAGAACGCCUGGUGGUUAAUACCCAUCAGGAAAGACAUCACUCACAGAAGAAGCACCGGCUAACUCCGUGCCAGCAGCCGCGGUAAUACGGAGGGUACGAGCGUUAAUCGGAAUUACUGGGCGUAAAGCGCGCGUAGGUGGCUUGAUAAGCCGGUUGUGAAAGCCCCGGGCUCAACCUGGGAACGGCAUCCGGAACUGUCAAGCUAGAGUGCAGGAGAGGAAGGUAGAAUUCCCGGUGUAGCGGUGAAAUGCGUAGAGAUCGGGAGGAAUACCAGUGGCGAAGGCGGCCUUCUGGACUGACACUGACACUGAGGUGCGAAAGCGUGGGUAGCAAACAGGAUUAGAUACCCGGGUAGUC
rnacentral:rRNA from 1 species